GUGGGGAAUCUUCCGCAAUGGACGAAAGUCUGACGGAGCAACGCCGCGUGAGUGAAGAAGGUUUUCGGAUCGUAAAGCUCUUUCGUUAGGGACGAACGUGCUCUUUGUGAAUAAUGAGGAGUAAUGACGGUACCUAAAUAAGAAGCCACGGCUAACUACGUGCCAGCAGCCGCGGUAAUACGUAGGUGGCAAGCGUUGUCCGGAAUUAUUGGGCGUAAAGCGCGCGCAGGCGGGAUAUCAAGUCUGUCUUAAAAGUGCGAGGCUCAACCUCGUGAGGGGACAGAAACUGGUAUUCUUGAGUGUCGGAGAGGAAAGUGGAAUUCCAAGUGUAGCGGUGAAAUGCGUAGAGAUUUGGAAGAACACCAGUGGCGAAGGCGACUUUCUGGACUGUAACUGACGCUGAGGCUCGAAAGCCAGGGGAGCGAACCGGAUUAGAUACCCCUGUAGUCC
rnacentral:rRNA from 1 species